rnacentral:rRNA from 1 species
UACGUAGGGUGCGAGCGUUAAUCGGAAUUACUGGGCGUAAAGCGUGCGCAGGCGGUUCGCCAAGUCAGGCGUGAAAUCCCCGGGCUUAACCUGGGAAUUGCGCUUGAAACUAGCGGGCUUGAGUGUGGCAGAGGGGGGUGGAAUUCCACGUGUAGCAGUGAAAUGCGUAGAGAUGUGGAGGAACACCGAUGGCGAAGGCAGCCCCCUGGGUCAACACUGACGCUCAUGCACGAAAGCGUGGGGAGCAAACAGG